rnacentral:rRNA from 1 species
UGUAAGAAGGGUCGAGUGGGCUCGGUAGUAGGGAGGGUGCGAGCGGUAAUGUGGAGUGUGUGGCCUGAAGGGGGCGCAGGGGGACUGGCAUGUCGAGUGUGAAAUCCCCGGGCGUAACGUGGGAAUUGCGCUCGAAACUACGUGGCUCGAGUGUGGCAGAGGAAGGUGGAAUUCCACGUGUAGCGGUGAAAUGCGUAGAGAUGUGGAGGAACACCGAUGGCGAAGGCAGCCUUCUGGGCCAACACUGACGCUCAUGCACGAAAGCGUGGGGAGCAAACAGGAUUAGAUACCCGUGUAGUC